UGGCCGUGGUCAGUAGUGGGGGCGCGUUCCGCUUCUGCGCAGUGGGAAACGGCGCGAUGAUUGGGAGGGGAGGCAGUCGUUCAAAAUCGCGACGAGCCGUCCCAUGCUCGACGUCCAUUAGAUAUUCUCGAUCUUUGUAAUUUGACAAUUAGUCGACGGCAGAGAUGGAACACUGUCAGUCAAACGGUUGAUGCAGCGGCGGGGUCGAUGCACCGAAGGAUGAUUUAUUUUAUUAAUUAGGCAACACUGUCGCUUCCGCGGAUGCCUGCCACACGGAGACAGAUCCAGGCACAUUCUUGCAAUUCCGGAUACGUCAGAAGCAUUGAUUCCAUUAUCCUCUGUGACCUCAUCGUACUUUUUGUAUCGAAUAUAUAACGAACAGAAGCAAAAAUAGUGGUUUCUAUCGAUUUUUGUGGAAAUAUGGGAAGCAUCCAAGCUCGACAUAACUCAUUUUCGUAAUCAGCUGGAAACGGAGAUACGAUUACAUUAUGCAGAGUAUUCGAGGCGAAUGUCGUCAACGAGAUUAAGCCUAUUACGAGGAAGUUCGUAUUAAAAUUUCAAGCUUAAAAUCGAACUCGGAGAAAAGUCAUUUUCGAAAAUAGAGGAUGGGAAGAGAAGAGGAGGGUACGAGGCGAAGAGAAGGUGCAUUGCCCUCGAAUCCAGGGCCACCGGCUGGUUCAGGAUCGUCGGGCAUCGGAGGGAAUCAGCCUGAACGGGUUAGAGGCUCGAUUGUGAUACAAGGUCAUCCGACACGAAGCAUGAGUAAUCCAGCCAUCGUGGUCAACGACAUGUUAUGCAACACGGCUGUGAUAAUCCUUUGGUGUCGGUUCUCCGCGCCUCCUCUUCCUUUCUCUUCGAUCCAGACAGCCUCCACUCGCUACAUGAUCGUUGAAACGAAGCUUGGAUCGAGUUGAAUGCGGGACGGAUGAAAAUGGCGGAUAUAUGCGCGUCCAUAUUGCUCGUUUAAAAGGGGUUCAGGAUGAUUUUCCUCGAGGAGCGGAGGAAUAUUGAUUCGUUCGGGGAAGAUAUUUUUAAGCUGUUCUUGGAAAGGGAAGGAAAUGCUUAAUUUAUACAGAAAGAAGCGAAGAUCUUGCGUCUUCCGAGUUUUCGUUUCUUAAAAUAAAAGAGCUUUAAUAAUUGUUCACGAAGCAA